AUUGAACGCUGGCGGCAUGCCUUACACAUGCAAGUCGAACGGCAGCGGGGGAGAAGCUUGCUUUUCCUGCCGGCGAGUGGCGAACGGGUGAGUAAUACAUCGGAACGUGCCCUGUAGUGGGGGAUAACUAGUCGAAAGAUUAGCUAAUACCGCAUACGACCUGAGGGUGAAAGUGGGGGACCGCAAGGCCUCAUGCUAUAGGAGCGGCCGAUGUCUGAUUAGCUAGUUGGUGGGGUAAAGGCCUACCAAGGCGACGAUCAGUAGCUGGUCUGAGAGGACGAUCAGCCACACUGGGACUGAGACACGGCCCAGACUCCUACGGGAGGCAGCAGUGGGGAAUUUUGGACAAUGGGCGAAAGCCUGGUCCAGCAAUGCCGCGUGUGUGAAGAAGGCCUUCGGGUUGUAAAGCACUUUUGUCCGGAAAGAAAUGGCUCUGGUUAAUACCUGGGGUCGAUGACGGUACCGGAGGAAUAAGGACCGGCUAACUACGUGCCAGCCGCCGCGGUAA
rnacentral:rRNA from 1 species